rnacentral:rRNA from 1 species
CAGCCGCCGCGGUAAAACGGAGGGUGCAAGCGUUAAUCGGAAUUACUGGGCGUAAAGCGUGCGUAGGCGGUUUGUUAAGUCUGCUGUGAAAUCCCCGGGCUCAACCUGGGAAUGGCAGUGGAUACUGGCAAGCUAGAGUGUGUCAGAGGAUGGUGGAAUUCCCGGUGUAGCGGUGAAAUGCGUAGAGAUCGGGAGGAACAUCAGUGGCGAAGGCGGCCAUCUGGGACAACACUGACGCUGAGGCACGAAAGCGUGGGGAGCAAACAGGAUUAGAUACCCGCGUAGUCCCUGUCUCUUAUAA